GAUGAACGCUGGCGGCGUGCCUAACACAUGCAAGUCGAGCGGCAGCGAGGGGUGCUUGCACCCUGUCGGCGAGCGGCGGACGGCUGAGUAACGCGUGGGAACGUGCCCCAAAGUGAGGAAUAACUGCCCGAAAGGGUAGCUAAUACCGCAUAUUAUCUUCGGAUCAAAGGAUUUAUCCGCUUUGGGAGCGGCUCGCGUCGGAUUAGGUAGUUGGUGAGGUAAUGGCUCACCAAGCCGACGAUCCGUAGCUGGUCUGAGAGGAUGACCAGCCAGACUGGAACUGAGACACGGUCCAGACUCCUACGGGAGGCAGCAGUGAGGAAUCUUCCACAAUGGGCGAAAGCCUGAUGGAGCAACGCCGCGUGCAGGACGAAGGCCUUCGGGUUGUAAACUGCUUUUAUAAGUGAGGAAUAUGACGGUAACUUAUGAACAAGGAUCGGCUAACUACGUG
rnacentral:rRNA from 1 species